GAGUGAAAGGCGCUUUCGGGUGUCRCUGAUGGAUGGACCCGCGGUGCAUUAGCUAGUUGGUGAGGUAACGGCUCACCAAGGCCACGAUGCAUAGCCGACCUGAGAGGGUGAUCGGCCACACUGGGACUGAGACACGGCCCAGACUCCUACGGGAGGCAGCAGUAGGGAAUCUUCGGCAAUGGACGAAAGUCUGACCGAGCAACGCCGCGUGAGUGAAGAAGGUUUUCGGAUCGUAAAACUCUGUUGUUAGAGAAGAACAAGGACGUUAGUAACUGAACGUCCCCUGACGGUAUCUAACCAGAAAGCCACGGCUAACUACGUGCCAGCAGCCGCGGUAAUACGUAGGUGGCAAGCGUUGUCCGGAUUUAUUGGGCGUAAAGCGAGCGCAGGCGGUUUCUUAAGUCUGAUGUGAAAGCCCCCGGCUCACCGGGGAGGGUCAUUGGAAACUGGGAGACUUGAGUGCAGAAGAGGAGAGUGGAAUUCCAUGUGUAGCGGUGAAAUGCGUAKAUAUAUGGAGGAACACCAGUGGCGAAGGCGGCUCUCUGGUCUGU
rnacentral:rRNA from 1 species